UACGGAGGGGGCUAGCGUUGUUCGGAAUUACUGGGCGUAAAGCGCACGUAGGCGGCUUUGCAAGUUAGAGGUGAAAGCCCGGGGCUCAACUCCGGAAUUGCCUUUAAAACUGCAUCGCUAGAAUUGUGGAGAGGUAAGUGGAAUUCCGAGUGUAGAGGUGAAAUUCGUAGAUAUUCGGAAGAAAACCAGUGGCGAAGGCGACUUACUGGACACAUAUUGACGCUGAGGUGCGAAAGCGUGGGGAGCAAACAGG
rnacentral:rRNA from 1 species